GAUGAACGCUGGCGGCGUGCCUAAUACAUGCAAGUCGAGCGAAGCGGGGACGGGUGAGUAACACGUGGAUAACCUCCUAUAAGACUGGGAUAACUUCGGGAAACCGGAGCUAAACCGGAUACUUAUCGAUGGAUCCGCGCUGCAUUAGCUAGUUGGUAAGGUAACGCCUUACCACGGCAACGAUGCAUAGCCGACCUGAGAGGGUGAUAGGCCAAACUGGAACGAGGAAACGGUCCAGCCUCCUACGGAGGGCAGCAGUAGGGAAUCUUCCGCAAUGGGCGAAAGCCUGACGGAGCAACGCCGCUUGGGGGAUGAGGGUCUUCGGAUCGUAAAACUCUGUUAUUAGGGAAGCGGUACCUAAUCAGAAAGCCACGGCUAACUACGUGCCAGCAGCCGCGGUAAUU
rnacentral:rRNA from 1 species